GCUUGGAAGGGAUAGCUCAGUAAGUAGAGCAUGAGAUUAUUAAUCUCAAGGUUCUGAUUUCAAGCCCCACAUUGCAGGUG